CAGUCGCCACGGUAAUACGAAGGGGGCUAGCGUUGUUCGGAUUUACUGGGCGUAAAGGGCGCGUAGGCGGCUAUUCAAGUCAGGGGUGAAAGCCCGGGGCUCAACCCCGGAACUGCCUUUGAAACUAGAUAGCUUGAAUCUUGGAGAGGCGAGUGGAAUUCCGAGUGUAGAGGUGAAAUUCGUAGAUAUUCGGAAGAACACCAGUGGCGAAGGCGACUCGCUGGACAAGUAUUGACGCUGAGGUGCGAAAGCGUGGGGAGCAAACAGGAUUAGAUACCCCAGUAGUCCUUGUCUCUUAUAC
rnacentral:rRNA from 1 species